CUGUUUCUCACCCUAAAUCGAAAACGUUCUUCACGCUGAAAUCGAAAGUGUUCUUCACCCCGAAAUCGAGAAUCGUUCUUCACACUGAAAUCGAGAAUCGUUCUUCACCCUCAAAUUGAAAAUGUUCAAUCGUUCACACAAAUGGUUGGCAAAAAUAGUUCUAUCACUGUGAGAUUCCUUUUUCAUCUUUCAUUCACUGUAUAGAGUAUGUUGGGGAUUUAGAACCAAAAACUGAUCUGAGUUUCAUAUCUUCAAGUUCAGCAUUGAUUUCAAAAUAAGGACCAUUGAGCUUGAUGGAAAGCGAAUCAAAUUGCAAAUAUGGGAUACAGCCGGUCAAGAGCGUUUCCGAACUAUCACAACGGUGGCACUGAGGAAGAAGUGUGGGCUACUGGAGUCUGGAACUGAGUGCAGUCACAUGCAAACAGAACAAACAACAAAAAAUAUAAACUCUGCAACUCAUUGGAUUGACCAGGAACUCCGAUAAAGGUGGCUUCUAAGCUGCUGAUGUCUUCUUAUGAAAGAACAAGAAGAUAUAUGCUGGUGCACUCGGUGUAGAAACUUCUCUUUGGGUGUUUUUUGAGCUGCUUGAGUAUCACUUUCUUACUCUCAUUUGUCACAGUUCGAUUCUGGUUCUUGCACUAUUGUUCUUGUGGUCCAAUGCUCAUACAUUUAUUCACAAAGGAAGUGGUAGCAUUAGGAGAAAGUGUGGGCUAUCAUCUCAUAAUUGUUGGGAUGGGUCAGUUUCCAUCGAAUAUGCUGACGAGAUUAGCAGAGAGGACAGCAGAGCAUCCAGAGUUAGGUCCCAUUGGAGACAUUCUUACUUCUUCAACAAGAGGUCAUAGGAUGGUGUCAUCGGUAUUGAUUAUACAGCAGCGUGAUGUGACAAUAUCUGAGGAUGCGCCAAUCUACAAGAGCCUCACUAAUGACUAGGAAGAACACUUGGUUGUCAAGCAUUUCUCUUUAUUGUAAAAUUUUAAGGAUAUAAUAUUUUUGAAGUUGUAUUGUAAAAUUUUAAAUAUAUAAUUUUUUUUAUGUAGUUCUAAUUUUCAUAAUA